rnacentral:rRNA from 1 species
GAUGAACGCUGGCGGCGUGCCUAAUACAUGCAAGUCGAGCGUACAGAUGAGGAGCUUGCACCUCUGACGUUAGCGGCGGACGGGUGAGUAACACGUGGAUAACCUACCUAUAAGACUGGGAUAACUUCGGGAAACCGGAGCUAAUACCGGAUAAUAUAUUGAACCGCAUGGUUCAAUAGUGAAAGACGGUUUUGCUGUCACUUAUAGAUGGAUCCGCGCCGCAUUAGCUAGUUGGUAAGGUAACGGCUUACCAAGGCAACGAUGCGUAGCCGACCUGAGAGGGUGAUCGGCCACACUGGAACUGAGACACGGUCCAGACUCCUACGGGAGGCAGCAGUAGGGAAUCUUCCGCAAUGGGCGAAAGCCUGACGGAGCAACGCCGCGUGAGUGAUGAAGGUCUUCGGAUCGUAAAACUCUGUUAUUAGGGAAGAACAAAUGUGUAAGUAACUAUGCACGUCUUGACGGUACCUAAUCAGAAAGCCACGGCUAACUACGUG